CCUACGGGACGCAGCAGUGGGGGAUAUUGCACAAUGGGGGGAACCCUGAUGCAGCGACGCCGCGUGGGUGAAGGAGCGUUUCGGCGCGUAAAGCCCUAUCGGCAGGGAAGAAGAUGACGGUACCUGACCAAGAAGCCCCGGCUAACUACGUGCCAGCAGCCGCGGUAAUACGUAGGGGGCAAGCGUUAUCCGGAUUUACUGGGUGUAAAGGGCGUGUAGCCGGGCUGACAAGUCAGAUGUGAAAUCCGGGAGCUCAACCCCCGAA
rnacentral:rRNA from 1 species